rnacentral:rRNA from 1 species
UGGCGAUUAAUCUGAGUAUCUAGUGGGCCAUUUUUUGGUAAGCAGAACUGGCGCUGUGGGAUGAACCAAACGUCGGGUUAAGGGGCCUAGAGGAAUGCUCAUUCAGAUCCCAUCGAAAGGCGUUGGUUGCUCUAGACAGCAGGACGGUGGCCAUGGAAGUCGGAAUCCGCUAAGGAGUGUGUAACAACUCACCUGCCGAAGCAACUAGCCCUUAAAAUGGUAUGGCGCUGAAGCAUUCUCCCGAUACUCGACCGCCGGGGCAUUAGCGGCCACAUCAUCGUCGUCGUCGUCGUCGACUUUGAGGAGGAGGCGGCGGCGGCGGCGAGGAGGUCUCGAUGAANCCCCGGUGAGUAAGANGGUCGCAGUGGUGANCGCUGAAAGGAUCCGGCGUGAGCCGGCCUGGAGCCACCACUGGUGCAGAUCUUGGUGGUAGUAGCAAAUACUCGAGAGAGACUCCCUUGAANACCGAUGUGGAGAAGGGUUCCAUGUGAACAUCAGUUGGACAUGGGUUAGUCGCUCCUAAGCCCAAGGCUAAGGCCUGAUCCCACGCUAGCGGC